rnacentral:rRNA from 1 species
AUUGAACGCUGGCGGCAGGCCUAACACAUGCAAGUCGAACGGUAACAGGAAGCAGCUUGCUGCUUCGCUGACGAGUGGCGGACGGGUGAGUAAUGUCUGGGAAGCUGCCUGAUGGAGGGGGAUAACUACUGGAAACGGUGGCUAAUACCGCAUAAUGUCGCAAGACCAAAGAGGGGGACCUUCGGGCCUCUUGCCAUCGGAUGUGCCCAGAUGGGAUUAGCUUGUUGGUGGGGUAACGGCUCACCAAGGCGACGAUCCCUAGCUGGUCUGAGAGGAUGACCAGCCACACUGGAACUGAGACACGGUCCAGACUCCUACGGGAGGCAGCAGUGGGGAAUAUUGCACAAUGGGCGCAAGCCUGAUGCAGCCAUGCCGCGUGUAUGAAGAAGGCCUUCGGGUUGUAAAGUACUUUCAGCGGGGAGGAAGGGAGUAAAGUUAAUACCUUGGCUCAUUGACGUUACCCGCAGAAGAAGCACCGGCUAACUCCGUG